rnacentral:rRNA from 1 species
AUCUUGAUGCUUACCCUACCAAAGCAUCCGCCCGAGAACUACGAGCACAAACGCUUAAAACUCUAAGGACUUGGCGGUGCCCCAAACCCACCUAGAGGAGCCUGUUCUAUAAUCGACAACCCACGAUACACCCAACCACUUCUCGCCAGAACAGCCUACAUACCGCCGUCGCCAGCUCACCUUUCCUGAAAGCACAGCAGUGAGCACAAUCGCCCCAACCCCGCUAACAAGACAGGUCAAGGUAUAGCCUAUGAAGUGGAAGAAAUGGGCUACAUUUUCUAACUUAGAAAACCCCCCACCCAACGGAAGGGAGCAUGAAACAGCUCCCAGAAGGCGGAUUUAGCAGUAAAGCGGGAUAAUCAAGCCCCCUUUAAGCCGGCUCUGAGGCACGUACAUACCGCCCGUCACCCUCCUCACAAGCUCCAUCCCCCUAUAAAUAAUACACCAACCCGCCAAAGACGAGGUAAGUCGUAACAAGGUAAGUGUACCGGAAGGU